rnacentral:rRNA from 1 species
GCGGACGGGUGAGUAAUGCUUGGGAAUCUGGCUUAUGGAGGGGGAUAACUACGGGAAACUGUAGCUAAUACCGCGUAGUAUCGGGAGAUGAAAGUGUGGGACCGCAAGGCCACAUGCCAUAAGAUGAGCCCAAGUGGGAUUAGGUAGUUGGUGGGGUAAAGGCCUACCAAGCCGACGAUCUCUAGCUGGUCUGAGAGGAUGACCAGCCACACUGGAACUGAGACACGGUCCAGACUCCUACGGGAGGCAGCAGUGGGGAAUAUUGCACAAUGGGGGGAACCCUGAUGCAGCCAUGCCGCGUGAAUGAAGAAGGCCUUCGGGUUGUAAAGUUCUUUCGGUGAUGAGGAAGGCAGUUGUUUUAAUAGAACAAUUGAUUGACGUUAGUCACAGAAGAAGCACCGGCUAACUCCGUGCCAGCAGCCGCGGUAAUACGGAGGGUGCAAGCGUUAAUCGGAAUGACUGGGCGUAAAGGGCACGCAGGCGGUGACUUAAGUGGGAUGUGAAAGCCCCGGGCUUAACCUGGGAAUUGCAUUUCAGACUGGGUCGCUAGAGUAUUUUAGGGAGGGGUAGAAUUCCACGUG